rnacentral:misc_RNA from 1 species
UAUAGAGUUAUAAAGAUUCAGAUAACUCAUUAAGGUACGUCUUUUAUGGGAUUAGAAUUAAGAGACUCGAAAAGCUAAGGUUGAAAGGAAUAGUGACGGUUCGUGUUUAGUGUUUGAUAGGCUAUAAGAUACACUAACCCUAAUAAAUAAUAAUCUUUUCAAUUAAUUGCGAUUGAACUCAUGAUCAUUCACAUGCACCAUUUUCAUGGCAUUAUUGGGUUGUAUGUAUCUAGAACAUAAAUAUGUUGCAUUACUACAUAAUCAAAUUAUUGAUGAUCGAUAGAUAUUGGAUGACCCACUGAUUUCUCCUAUGUUAUGGAUAUGA